CGCUUGUUCAGUCGCUUUCUGGUUUAUGCCCUUUUUCCCACCUGCAUUACUGCAUAUAGUGAGGCAGUGUGUGGAAUUUAGGUGCUGGUUUGAACAAAUUACAAUGAUGUAGUGGUGAGGAUCAGUACAGUCACCGGCUUUAUAUUGUGGUCAGCCUGUUUGUCUGCUUGCUCAUGCAUUCUAAUACAUGAUGUCCUGAUGAUUUGUGAAGUUCUGUGUAUCACGUGAUAAGCUGCACAUCAGGUAGCAUGGCAGCUUGUUUGUUGCUUUUAGGAUGUACAUGUACCCAGGUGGAUCAAAUACAGAUACCGAUCAUAUAUUUUUCUUUACUCGUGUGUUUUUCAUGUGUCUGCCAAGCAUUUCGACAAAUUGAUUAUAUCAUUCAGAUGUAUUCAGGCCAGGUUUCUGUGACAAAAAAAAAAUCAUGUGCGACUGGCUUUCUUAUUACAUACAAAACUAAAUGUGGAGAAGUAUAUAUGUUCAUUAUUUGGUAACUGAACUGAAUUGCCUUGGUAUAAAACUCCCAUUAGCUUUUGCCGGAGGUGCUGUAAUGAUUUGAUGGAAAGGCUUUUAUAUUUCCAAGUUGAUCAACUACACAACUUCUGAUCUUAAAGCCUUUCUUUAAAAGGGACUGGUCAAUACAACUCGAUGUUGUGCUAUCUUGCUAUUGGGCCCCUUUUUCUUUUCUUAAAAUGGUCGGAUAUCUCAUGUUUUAUUCGUGGUUGAUUGCUUAUAUCCAAAAUAAUUAUGUUAGUAUACUGAAGUUAAUUUCUAUUCCCUCCGUCCCAAAAUAAGUGUCUCAAGCUUAGUACAAAGUUGAGACACUUAUUUUGGACGGAGGGAGUACAUUAUUAGUGAAGUUGGCUAAAUAGUUUUUGCGCUACUGAGAUAUAUAUGUGCACUACAUUCUAACCGUCUAAAUUCUUGUGCUAUUGAGUUUAAUCAGGAAUAUAAUUAUGUUAGUACACUCUGCAAUAUAAUUAUAUUAUAUUCUGCUUUUGUCAGUUUUCUGGUCCAUAUUAGUUUGCUCGAGCUUGUUUUUACAUCUGGUCAUAUUUAUACCUCUCCGCCGACUGCCACCUAUCAUGGAGGAGGGAGAUGGCUUUGCCAGGCCGUCAACACCAAUCGGCAACUUCCGGCAGGCGCCGUCCCGUUCUUCCUCCCCUUACUCCGAUGCCUUCAUGGCCAAAAUCAUUAGCAGCAGCAAGAAGGUUAAGCACCAACUAUGGUUAAAGAUCUGAUUUUGCUGGUCAGGUUAGAAAUUCAGAUGAAUCAACAAGUGUUCUCCGAAAGGCUGAAGGUGAAUAUCAAGGGCACCGCUCUUUGAUGAUGCGCACCCAUGGUUUGCUCACCACGAUGCAACGACAAGAUGUUCUUGAUGGGUAUGUAGCAGGAAUCUCUUGUAGAGUUCAAAACCAGCCUUAUUAGUACCAAUCAUUUAUGAUGUGGUCGUUCUUGUCUUUCAGUCGAACAAAAGUGGAACAAAUGGGUUUAACUUGUAUGCCUACUCCUGUUGCGAUAAGCAUUUGGUUUCCAUCUGCAAGACAAGUUUCUGCUUGUGUAACAACAAUCACUAGUA